rnacentral:rRNA from 1 species
GGGGGGAAAUUAAUUAUUUAUUUAAUUAAUAAAAGAAUUUUUAAUAUAAAAAUAUUUUAAUGGGGGUUAAAGUAAUUUUAUAGAAAAAAUUGAAAAUUUUAUAGUUUAUUUAGUAUUGUGAAAGAAUUUUGAAAUAAAUGAAAAUAAAUUAUUUAAAAAGUAAAUUUUAUUUAUUGUAUCUUGUGUAUCAGAGUUUAUUAAAAAAAUUUUAUUUAUAAAAAUUUCUCGAAUUUAAAAGAGUUAAUUAAUUAUAAAAGUUAUUGUAGCAAAAAUAUUUUAAAUAAUUAAUUUGAAAUGAAAUGUUAUUCGUUUUUAAAUAUAUCUAGUUUUUAUAGAAAAAAAUUUAAUUUUUUAUUAAUUUUUAUUUUUAUUAAUUAUAAUUAAUAAAAAUAAUUUUUAAUAUAAUAAUUUAAGGGAUAAUCUUUAAAUUAAAUUUUUAUAUGUAAAAUAAAUUAAUUAAAAAAUUUUAUAAUUUAUAUUGUUAAUAAAUUUUAAUUUAUUAUAAAUAAUUUUAUUAAAAAUUAAAAUUUAAUUAAAUAUUUAAUUUUUUAUAUAAAAGUAAUUUUUAAUAAUAAAAAUUAAGUUAUAAUGAUAAAAUUAGUAAAAUAAAAAAAAUUAAUAAUAAUUAUUGAAAUUAAGAUAAUAAUUAAAAUUAUAUAAAAGGAAUUCGGCAAAAUUUUAUAUUCACUUGUUUAUCAAAAACAUGUCUUUUUGAAAUAAUAACUUAAAGUCUAAUCUGCCCACUGAUUAAAAAUUAAAGGGCUGCAGUAUUUUGACUGUACAAAGGUAGCAUAAUCAUUAGUCUCUUAAUUAGUGACUUGUAUGAAAGAUUGGAUGGAAUAUAAGCUGUCUCUUAUGUAAAAUUAUUUGAAUUUAAUUUUUUAAUUAAAAAGUUAAAAUUUGUUAAAAAGACGAGAAGACCCUAUAGAGUUUUAUAUUUUAAAUUAUAAAAAUUUUUUUAUAAUAUUUGAAUAGAUUAAAAAUAUUUUAUUGGGGUGAUAAAAAAAUUAAUUAAACUUUUUUUUUAAUAAGACAUUAAUAAGUGAAUAUUUGAUCCAAUUUUAUUGAUUAUAAGAAAAAAUUACCUUAGGGAUAACAGCGUAAUUUUUUUUUUAGUUCAUAUAAAAAAAAAAAGUUUGCGACCUCGAUGUUGGAUUAAGAUAAAAAUUAAAUGUAGAAGUUUAAAUUUUUUGAUCUGUUCGAUCAUUAAAAUCUUACAUGAUCUGAGUUCAAACCGGUGUGAGCCAGGUUGGUUUCUAUCUUUUAAUAAAAAAAAUAUUUUAGUACGAAAGGAUCAAAUAUUUUAAUUAAAUUAAAAAAUAAUUUGAAUAUUAUUAAAUAUUAAUUAAAUUUAUAAAUAUAAUUAA